rnacentral:rRNA from 1 species
AACGAACGCUGGCGGCAGGCUUAACACAUGCAAGUCGAACGCCCCGCAAGGGGAGUGGCAGACGGGUGAGUAACGCGUGGGAAUCUACCUAGUUCUACGGAACAACUGAGGGAAACUCCAGCUAAUACCGUAUACGCCCUACGGGGGAGAGAUUUAUCGGAAUUAGAUGAGCCCGCGUAAGAUUAGCUAGUUGGUGGGGUAAUGGCCUACCAAGGCGACAAUCUUUAGCUGGUCUGAGAGGAUGAUCAGCCACACUGGGACUGAGACACGGCCCAGACUCCUACGGGAGGCAGCAGUGGGGAAUAUUGGACAAUGGGCGCAAGCCUGAUCCAGCCAUGCCGCGUGAGUGAUGAAGGCCUUAGGGUUGUAAAGCUCUUUCAGUGGGGAAGAUAAUGACGGUACCCACAGAAGAAGCCCCGGCUAACUUCGUGCCAGCCGCCGCAGUAACAC